rnacentral:rRNA from 1 species
AUUGAACGCUGGCGGCAGGCCUAACACAUGCAAGUCGAACGAGUGGCGGACGGGUGAGUAAUGUCUGGGAAACUGCCCGAUGGAGGGGGAUAACUACUGGAAACGGUAGCUAAUACCGCAUACAAUCGGAUGAGCCCAGCAGGGAUUAGCUAGGAGGUGGGGGAACGUCUCACCUAGGCGACGAUCCCUAGCUGGUCUGAGAGGAUGACCAUCCACACUGGGACUGAGACACGGCCCAGAAGCCUACUGGAGGCAGCAGUGGGGAAGAUUGCACAAUGGGCGCAAGCCUGAUGCAGCUAUGCCGCGUGUAUGAAGAAGGCCUUCGGGUUGUAAAGUACUUUCAGCGAGGAGGCGUUACUCGCAGAAGAAGCACCGGCUAACUCCGUGCCAGCAGCCGCGGUAAUAC